CACGUAGUUAGCCGGUGCUUAUUCUUCAGGUACCGUCAUUAGUCGAGGAUAUUAGCCUCAACCGUUUCUUCCCUGACAAAAGAGCUUUACAACCCGAAGGCCUUCUUCACUCACGCGGCAUUGCUGGAUCAGGCUUUCGCCCAUUGUCCAAAAUUCCCCACUGCUGCCUCCCGUAGGAGUCUGGACCGUGUCUCAGUUCCAGUGUGGCUGGUCGUCCUCUCAGACCAGCUACUGAUCGUCGCCUUGGUGAGCCUUUACCUCACCAACUAGCUAAUCAGAUAUCGGCCGCUCCAGGAGCACAAGGUCCGAAGAUCCCCUGCUUUCAUCCUUAGAUCGUAUGCGGUAUUAGCGUAACUUUCGCUACGUUAUCCCCCACUCUUGGGUACGUUCCGAUAUAUUACUCACCCGUUCGCCACUCGCCGCCAGGUUGCCCCGCGCUGCCGUUCGACUUGCAUGUGUAAAGCAUGCCGCCAGCGUUCAAUCUGAGCCAGGAUCAAA
rnacentral:rRNA from 1 species